CAAAGCUGCACACCUACAUCCACGUUCCACGUGCUUUAAGAAAGGAAACCUGGCAAAAUAAAAGCAUCACGCACUUUAAACUUUAGUCACCCAAUGCUGCUGUUCAGGCGCUGGAAAGUCACUUCACAGAGCUACACUGGAUCACUGAAUAUUCCACAGCCGAGCAAAUCUCCUGCCUCUUCUGUUCACCAGGAAAAAUACCAAGUAUACCUUACAUGCUGUACUGUCCAACCAUCCCUAUUCCAUGAAGACACCUGUGGAGCUGCUGCCUGAGUGCCAAAACACAAGCCAAGCUACACCUGACCCUCCAGCAGGCUUUUUGGGAGCCACAUCCCUCCCCACACGGCUCCAGAUUUGCUUCCCCGAGGAGUGGUUGCUGACGCCAACCCCAGCAGGAGUGGGGGAAGAGGGAGACAAAAAUGACCUGUAUAAUUCAUGCUAAAAAAAAAAACACAUAAAAGAUAAUGAGUUACCAUGACAAUGUUCUGGAAAGCAUAAAGAGAUGACCCCAAGAGAAGAAAAAUAUUGGAUUUGAGCUUAUUUUUCCUUCUGUAAGAAUCAGAGUGACAGGCGCGUUGAGCUGGGUGAUUCAUCCUAAGAAGAAAUGUAUCGUCAGAUGUUUAUGAGAGUGGUUUACUCUCACUGCUUAGCUUCUCAUGUUAGGAAUGCUUGACAAAUAAUAACAAAAAAAAAUUAACAAAAUCUGGGCUGCUAGAACACAAGGUAGCCUAAUAGAGUUGAAAUUGCAUCGAAUCUGCUAAAAGAUUGCAUCAGUCGUGAUCCCACUGCAAACUUUGGAAGUGACUUUUAGAUUCAUUAAUGUUCUGCAAGGCACGCUGGGGCUAAUGACAGCAAGUUCAGCUAAUUCCAGAGAAAUUGGCAUGGAUGGCAAUCCAUUGAUUUCAUAUAACCAUGCUUCAGACAAUGCUAAAUUCAUUACUUUUAAUUAAAUUUAGCUGCUUUUGCAACAAACGUAUAGUCAUGGCCUUUGAAAACACUAGGGUAAAGAGCAAUUCAUUUCCAUAAUACUGCAUAAAAUAAAGCAGAAAUAUUUGUUACUGAAAGGGCAUUCUAAUUCCUCUGUAUUAUUUUGGUAUUACGUGAACCAGGAAUCUCUUAAGCUAAUGAUUAUUACAUCAACACAGA